GACGAACGCUGGCGGCGUGCUUAACACAUGCAAGUCGAACGAUGAACCCGGAGCUUGCUUCGGUGGAUUAGUGGCGAACGGGAGAGUAACACGUGAGUAACCUGCCCUUGACUCUGGGAUAACUGCGGGAAACUGUAGCUAAUACCGGAUACGACCCUCGGCGGCAUCGCCAGGGGGUGGAAAGAAUUUCGGUCAAGGAUGGACUCGCGGCCUAUCAGCUAGUUGGUGAGGUAACGGCGCACCAAGGCGACGACGGGUAGCCGGCCUGAGAGGGUGACCGGCCACACUGGGACUGAGACACGGCCCAGACUCCUACGGGAGGCAGCAGUGGGGAAUAUUGCGCAAUGGGCGCAAGCCUGAUGCAGCAACGCCGCGUGAGGGAUGACGGCCUUCGGGUUGUAAACCUCUUUUAGUAGGGAAGAAGCGAAAGUGACGGUACCUGCAGAAAAAGCACCGGCUAACUACGUGCCAGCAGCCGCGGUAA
rnacentral:rRNA from 1 species